CCUACGGGUGGCUGCAGUGGGGAAUAUUGGACAAUGGGCGAAAGCCUGAUCCAGCCAUGCCGCGUGUGUGAAGAAGGCCUUCGGGUUGUAAAGCACUUUCAGUGGGGAAGAAAGCCUUGGGGCUAAUACCCUCGAGGAAGGACAUCACCCACAGAAGAAGCACCGGCUAACUCCGUGCCGGCAGCCGCGGUAAUACGGAGGGUGCGAGCGUUAAUCGGAAUUACUGGGCGUAAAGCGCGCGUAGGCGGUCUGAUAAGCCGGUUGUGAAAGCCCCGGGCUCAACCUGGGAACGGCAUCCGGAACUGUCAGGCUAGAGUGCAGGAGAGGAAGGUAGAAUUCCCGGUGUAGCGGUGAAAUGCGUAGAGAUCGGGAGGAAUACCAGUGGCGAAGGCGGCCUUCUGGACUGACACUGACGCUGAGGUGCGAAAGCGUGGGUAGCAAACAGGAUUAGAUACCCGAGUAGUC
rnacentral:rRNA from 1 species